CGAGCAGGAGUAACAAUAGUCGAACAUAAUUUUUCAUAAAUUUGAGAUUUUUUCGUUUUUUUCUUUAUCAGAGAGGGGCCCCGUUAGGGGUAUUUAGUAACUCGAGCAUUUCUUGUUUACUCGAACAGCAAAGGAGAGGUGCUUUAGCAACUCGACUGAAAGGAGAGGUGCUUUAGCAACUCGACUGAAAGGAGAGGUGCUUUAGCAACUCGACUGAAAAGGCGUUCCUCGGAGUGACUCGAGCACUUGUCUAGAGAGGUGCUUUAGCAACUCGACUGAAAGGAGAGGCCAGGGACGGGGUCGAACCGUC
rnacentral:lncRNA from 1 species